ACCGUCACUCUGCGCCCACUCACCUGAGGGUUAGCACAGAGGUUUUCAGGCUGUGCUGAAUUCGGAUAUGUGUGCAGAGAUAGUGUUUCCCACAGUCCGAGUCACCGUGACUGACGUGGAUGCCGAGCAGGCUGCAGGGACCGUGUGGAGGAAAGCUGCUUUGAUGCUGCAGCUCAGUCAGACAGCGACACCCUGUGGUAGAGUUUGAAAUCCCACUCUGGAUCGCAGCAGUGAAACAGUGCCGCCCUGUGGCAGGCUCAAAGUGAAACCAGAGAACCAGGAACAGACUCAGACCGGCUCUCACUGAGCCCCUGUGACAGAUUACAGAUAUAUAACCAAGCCUGCAGCACCCAGAGGUGUUUGAGCUGCUGUUUCCUGCCAGCUUGAACCCACUUUAAGCCUCUCUUCUCCAGCUAACCCUGGCUCUGCCAGCAUCCAGGCCAGAUGGCCUUAAAUUCCUGAGACGUGCUUGGGGUUGUUGUGUUACUUCGGUAGCACAUAUACUAAAAUUGGAACGAUACAGAGAAGAUUAGCAUGGCCCCUACACGCAAAUUCGUGAAGCGUUCCUCAUUUUCCUUUUUUUUAAUCAAAAUUCAGAGUCAACCUUUGAUUGGAUUUGCUGCAGUUU